rnacentral:rRNA from 1 species
AUUUAUUGGGUUUAAGGGUGCGCAGGCGGAUAGAUAAGUCAGAGGUGAAAGCCCACAGCUCAACUGUGGAACUGCCUUUGAUACUGUUUAUCUUGAGUCUGGUUGAAGUAGGCGGAAUGUAGUAUGUAGCGGUGAAAUGCUUAGAUAUACUACAGAACACCGAUUGCGUAGGCAGCUUACUAAACCAGUACUGACGCUCAGGCACGAAAGCGUGGGGAGCGAACAGGAUUAGAUACCCUGGUAGUCCACGCCGUAAACUUUGAUUACUCGUUGUUGGCAAUACACCGUCAGCGACUGAGCGAAAGCAUUAAGUAAUCCACCUGGGGAGUACGAUCGCAAGGUUGAAACUCAAAGGAAUUGACGGGGGCCCGCACAAGCGGAGGAGCAUGUGGUUUAAUUCGAUGAUACGCGAGGAACCUUACCUGGGCUUAAAUGUAGAGUGCAUGAGGUGGAAACACUUCUUUCCUUCGGGACCCUCUACAAGGUGCUGCAUGGUUGUCGUCAGCUCGUGCCGUGAGGUGUCGGGUUAAGUCCCAUAACGAGCGCAACCCCUAUCUUUAGUUGCCAUCAGUUCGGCUGGGGACUCUAAAGAAACUGCCCGCGCAAGCGGUG